rnacentral:rRNA from 1 species
AACGAACGCUGGCGGCAUGCCUAACACAUGCAAGUCGAACGAGACCUUCGGGUCUAGUGGCGCACGGGUGCGUAACGCGUGGGAACCUGCCCUUAGGUUCGGAAUAACUCCCCGAAAGGGGUGCUAAUACCGGAUAAUGUCUUCGGACCAAAGAUUUAUCGCCUUUGGAUGGGCCCGCGUUGGAUUAGCUAGUUGGUAGGGUAAAAGCCUACCAAGGCGACGAUCCAUAGCUGGUCGGAGAGGAUGAUCAGCCACACUGGGACUGAGACACGGCCCAGACUCCUACGGGAGGCAGCAGUGGGGAAUAUUGGACAAUGGGCGAAAGCCUGAUCCAGCAAUGCCGCGUGAGUGAUGAAGGCCUUAGGGUUGUAAAGCUCUUUUACCCGGGAUGAUAAUGACAUUACCGGGAGAAUAAGCUCCGGCUAACUCCGUG